ensembl:lncRNA
GGACACUGAUGGACAGGUCCUGGCUAAGGAUUGUGAAAUCCUCUAAGGAGCACAGAUGGACAAGGCCAGGGGCAACGAGAGAGAGAUAAGCUGCUGCUAAUGGCUGGGAAACGGUCUUUUUGUGUGGACUUAUCUCGAGGAAGAUGGCCAUCUCAGGAGGUAUGCACAGGACUCUUGCUCAAGCACCCAGGAAUGUCACGUAGGCAGGAGAAAAUGGAGGAUAAAAGAGGGUCCAACAACCACGGCGGUGUGGAGGUUGAUCCUUCACCACAACUGAGAGGCUCAUCUCUCACCACGACAGACUUGAGGGGUUCUCUGCCAUCUGAUCCUUCACCACAACAGUGGAGGCUGAUCUCUCACCGCAACACAGAGGCUGAUCUCUCAUGAUCUCUCACCACGACACGAGCUUCCUGCCUUCAGAUCCUUCUCUAUGGACCGUUUGCUGACGGACUUCCCUGGGCCUGCUACCUGAGACCUGCUGCUUCCUCCCUGACCUGCACCCUCUCAUUGCCAAGACCGGCCUCGCUGCUCCUGCCCUUCGGCCUCGGACCGUCAGAACGUCGUGCAACGGGACUACUGCCGGAUCCUGGUGAUCUGAACAUUCUUAAUUUCUGUCAGAUAUAGAUUGCUCUGGACUUUUCAGAGGGCAAGAGAGAACAAUGGUCAUGCAAGGAAUUCUGGAGAGAGAAUGGUAGAAUGGUUACAACGAGCUCACUGGGAGAUCUGAUCCCAGUCACCAGCUGAGAGGACAGAGGAGAACACAACUUGCGCUCCCGAUCCCUUCAGAAGUCUUCCCAGAGCCCUGACGUCCCUUCUGAUCACCCAAAGGCUUCUUUUGCCUACCUCUUCAUUUCCAAUGUGGAAAACCAGUAACGGAGAAUAAUCGGAGGGCUUAACGAGGUGUCGUUAAUCGGAGGCUUAAUGACAACACACCUCCCUGUGGGAUGGAUCUGAGCAGCAUAUCGGGCCCUCGGUUCCCCUCAGAAGGGAGUUCCCUAUGACGACAAGUUUUUUUGUUUUGUUUUGUUCCCCUCCCCCCCCCCCCCCUCCCCCCCCAAGUGACGUAGCAAAAUGGGGAGCAGACUGACUAGCCUUGGGCAACCUCUCCUGCAUGGAUGGACUUUCACCAACAUCCACAGCUCCUACUCCCUCCAGCUUCAGAGCCUCAUACCUGUUUUGUAAGGGCACCUGGGAAGGUGGGACAGGCUGAGGGGCAGUCUGCUUGCUGCCCUGAACAGGGACUUGUUUCCAUCCCUCGCUGUCUUUGAGGUCACUCCUUCCCACCUGACUGUGAGACAGCAGAUGAUCCCCCACUGCUUGAGGAGCAUCUCCCCUGCACCCUUUCUGUAGGGAUGGCAGAGUGCAACUUUACUAGUCAAUCCCCUUCCCACAAUCCCGGAUGCUCCUCCCUUUCUUCCUCCUUCUGCUCUACCACCAGCCUGAGCAGAUCCUCCACCUGCUCACACUGCACACAGGUAGUAUCCUGGCUGCCCUCCUGUACCAGUAACAUGGCCAGGCAUUCUCCGCAACCUGAGACCCGAACUGUGGCAUGGACAUUCAUGCUUUCUGUCUGAGUCUCCACGUUCCUUUUAGCAGCAGCUCACCUCCGUUUGGUGACCAUGGUUGCACCUCGGUGUGUCCAGAGAGCAACGACCUGUUAAGUGACCUGUUAAGUGCUAAGUGCUAAGCCCCCUCCUAUAUGGCAAGGUGCCCUGCCCUGCCCUGCCUGCCCGCUGAUUUGCUCGGGGUUUGCCCUAGAAAUCACUCUUUUCACAGCAAGACAACAACCUGCCUUCCUGCAUAGUCACGCAAAUAGGUGGCUUACUAUUUCACCUCCUCAGAACAGCCCAAGUGAUUCAAACACCCUGACUCCUCCUCUCCAUCCCCAAGGCUUUUUCUAGGCAGGGGGCGUGGAUGCAGAGCCGUUGCCCUGGCAACGCCCACUUCAUGUCAGCC